GCUGGGCCCAAAUGCCCGGGGCCAGGCUGCACCACGGCGUGCACGCACCUGGGGCUGCCCGGGGCCACAGCGCGGCAUCUUUAAGCACCAACCUACUAUAUUUAUUUCCAUGGAAGCUAAUUCAUCAUACAAUGGUCCCCAGCUGCUCUGACAACUGCUCUAAGAAGCACAGAUGAAAUUCAGAGGACAUGGUGUGGAGGGAUGUCUGUUGGGCUGUCAACUUUGAGAACAAACUGACAAAGUUAAAAGUGAUAGAAAGAAAAUUCCCUGGGAACAAGGAACCAAACAUCAGGAAAAUCAAAACCAGGAUAAAAAAAAUGGAAGCAUGUGUCAUAUGUCCUAUUGAAGAUUGGCUGCAGAUGUAUGAGGAACAUGAAAGUCAAGGAUAACUGCUGAGAAAACACCACUCUCUAUCUUACUGAGUCAAAAACUUGCUUGGAUCAAUCUACUACAGAUGGGACAAGUCUCAAGACUCUUGGAUAUCAGCUUACACAUUCCACUUGGUGUUGAGGGCAGAAAUCAGACCUCUCCUGUUCAGCAUUACAGAUAAAGUACAGGUGACUGUAGGUGAACACAAUAGCAUUUUUAAGGAUUCUAAAAGAGUAACAAACAA